GACGUCGAAGGAACGACGCAAGCCGACCAAGGAUGGCGGCCAGGGAAAGUCGCAGGAUAGCGACCUCCUCAGGAUGAGGAACCAGGGAUGCGGUUGAACGACACGAAGCGGCGAGGCUAACCCCUCGCCGUUUUUGU
rnacentral:sRNA from 1 species